UAUGUGAUCGUCUCUCGCAUAUCAAUAAGCGGAGGAAAAGAAACUAACAAGGAUUCCCCUAGUAACGGCGAGUGAAGCGGGAAGAGCUCAAAUUUGAAAUCUUAAAGGGUUUCCCUUUACGAAUUGUAGUUUAAAGAAGUGUUUUCUGUUGAGGUUUUGGUAAAAGUUCUUUGGAAUAGGAUAUCAUAGAGGGUGAGAAUCCCGUAUUUGACCUUUACUUUCAACUUUGUGAUACACUUUCAAAGAGUCGGAUUGUUUGGGAAUGCAGUCCAAAAUGGGUGGUAAAUUUCAUCUAAAGCUAAAUAUUGGCGAGAGACCGAUAGCGAACAAGUACCGUGAGGGAAAGAUGAAAAGAACUUUGAAAGGAGAGUUAAACAGUACGUGAAAUUGUCAAAAGGGAAGCGUUUGACACCAGUGUUGUUUUUCUGAAAAUCAAUUAAAGAACUGUUUAUGCUAAGCUGUUUAGACUUUAUCAGCUAUCUGUUUAGUUUUGAGCUUUUCUUUAAUGCACUUUUCAGUUAACAAGUCAACAUCAAUUUCUUUUGCUGUAAAAAAGCUUGAGGAAGGUGGCUUGAGAUUCGUCUUAAGUGUUUAUAGCCUCUUGCCUAUGCAGUCGGAGAGAUUGAGGUCUGCAGCGUAGAUCCUUCGGGGCUAAAUGCAUUUGUGCUAAGUUAUAGCAUUUUAUAGACAACUUGUUGACUAUGAUUUGUCUUGUAGCUUACUCGCUUAUGUUAUUUUACCUACGCUUAGGAUGUUGAGCGCAUGUCUCUCUCU
rnacentral:rRNA from 1 species